AUGAACGCUGGCGGCGUGCCUCAUACAUGCAAGUCGAGCGAACAGACGAGGAGCUUGCUCCUCUGACGUUAGCGGCGGACGGGUGAGUAACACGUGGAUAACCUACCUAUAAGACUGGGAUAACUUCGGGAAACCGGAGCUAAUACCGGAUAAUAUAUUGAACCGCAUGGUUCAAUAGUGAAAGACGGUUUUGCUGUCACUUAUAGAUGGAUCCGCGCCGCAUUAGCUAGUUGGUAAGGUAACGGCUUACCAAGGCAACGAUGCGUAGCCGACCUGAGAGGGUGAUCGGCCACACUGGAACUGAGACACGGUCCAGACUCCUACGGGAGGCAGCAGUAGGGAAUCUUCCGCAAUGGGCGAAAGCUUGACGGAGCAACGCCGCGUGAGUGAUGAAGGUCUUCGGAUCGUAAAACUCUGUUAUUAGGGAAGAACAAAUGUGUAAGUAACUAUGCACGUCUUGACGGUACCUAAUCAGAAAGCCACGGCUAACUACGU
rnacentral:rRNA from 1 species